UAGUAGCAUCUUAAGAUACUUGCUUUUUCAAAUACCUAACCAUCUAGUUGCUCAUCUAGCCAUCCAUGAGCCCAUCUUAUUUUCCGAUGUGGUAAAAAAACAAAACAAAACAAAACACUUUUCCCCAAAUGCUUCUGCAUUAGUAGUUCAGUAUUUGUUUUUCAAAGGCUUGGUAGGUAAAAUCUGCACGCCAGGAAACGCACAGAUCUGAAGCGUAGAGUGCGGUCUUUUCCAUCAUUUUGUCAGAUGUUACCAAACCAAGCCUCUGGAUCUUGUCGCAGAAUUUCUAUCAGUUCUUCAGGAAGUGCAGUUUUAAUUUUUUUUUUUUAACGUUUAUUUAUUUUUGAGACAGAGAGAGACAGAGCAUGAAUGGGGGAGGGUCAGAGAGAGGGAGACACAGAAUCGGAAACAGGCUCCAGGCUCCGAGCCGUCAGCCCAGAGCCCGAUGCGGGGCUCGAACUCACGGACCGCGAUAUCAUGACCUGGGCCGAAGUCGGCCGCUUAACCGACUGAGCCACCCAGGCGCCCCAUGGAAGUGCAGUUUUAAAAGCCGUUGGGAAUGAGAACGUAUGAGGAGCAUGUUGUAAAGAUUCUGUUCGCUGUAACAUGAAGUUUGUGCCUUUACCACCCUGGCCCUUCUCUUAGUUCUUUUCCCCUCUCCACUCCCUUUCUCCUCCCCACCCCCUCCCCGCCAGGAGGGGGUGGGUGGUAAGAAAGCAGAGUGGUUGAUUGAAGAUUUUUUUUUAAAUUUUACUUCGAUACCUUUAUAAGGCAUUCUUUUUUUUUUUUUUUUUGAGGGACGAAGGGGACAAGGGCAAAGGGAGAGAGAGAGAGAGAGAGAGAGAGAGAAAGACAGAGCACAAGCAGGGGAGGGGCAGAGAGAGAGGGAGGCACAGAAUCCGAAGCAGGCCCCAGGCUCCGAGCUGUCAGCACAGAGCCUGAUGUCGGGCUCGAAUUCCUGAACCUCGAGAUCGUGAGCUGGGCUGAAGUCAGACACACCUUCUAGAAGGAGUGUACCGUUUACUUGGGAAGAGAGGAUGGAGGUAUGUGGUAGGUCGUGAAGAAGCAGGAUAUGGUAAGUGUAGGAAGUGCUCCAAGAGUAAGCAGUGGCUGGCAGCCAGCGAUUAGGGAAGGUUCUGGAGCGGUAUCUGCUUUGAGGUGGUUCUGUGUGGAGGGAGAGGAAAAGGGGAGAGGGCUUUCAGGGUCCCUGUGGCCUGCUCACAGCAGGGACGUUUUGGCCUUCAAUCCAGCAGAACUGAUGGCCGAUUCGAGGAGGUCUUGACCGAUAAUGUUGAAAAGGCAACUUGUCACGAUUGUGACGGGCCGUUAAGUGACCGGUCCUUUGGAAAGGCCAGUACGGUCUCUAGUGUUCCCUGGAUUAUUUUCCAUUUCUCCCCUGUGGUUAGCAGAAAUCCUACUCUUUGAUUUUUUUUUUCUUUUGGUCAGGAGAACGAAUGGUAUCCAUUUCUCAAUCCAUGGUUUGAAUAAGAAACUUUUCAUCUGAAGGUUUAAAGGCGAGGGUCCCCUUUUCACGAGAAGAAUGAAGAGUUGUACUCCUUUUAUUAAUGGGGACUUGGUCACUGUUGAAACCACAAACAAACAAAAAAGGCCCAGCAGCAUUUCUUGCAUAUAGUUACUGGGCUCCUUAAACGUUGCCAAAUACCGAGGGGAAAGGAAAAUCAGAAAAGUUUUGGUGGGGGGGGGGGGGUUGGUGGUUUAAAAAAUAUAGUGACUAACUCCUUGUGCUGACUAAUGCCAGUGAACUCAUAAUGAGUAACAAUAGUGAAUUUAGAAGGGAGAUUAAAUAGAACAGCUAUUUAAAGGUUGCUUUAAUUCAAAAGACAGCCGAGUUGGUCACACAAGUCAGGAUUCCCUUUGGGAAAUUCAGAAGUAGUUCAUUUCACCCCUACAAGGAAGGUUCUGUCUCUCUCCUUUAUCGAAAGGAGUCCUCUUAGGGUGGUUAGAGAUCAGCUCUGUCAAGGGUGGCUCCUUUUCCACUCGUCUCUUGGGGUGGGGGGAUUCUUGGCAGAUGAUCUCGCUUGUGCUUUUGUGUUGGAGAAGUAACAUAGGAGGCCGCUGAUAAGCAAGAACAACCAAUCGAUGUAAAAGAACAAACAAACAAACAAACAAACAAAACUUGGUUGGUGAUGCCCGUGAACUGGAAACACAAGGCAGAUGGAGAAACUGAGUCCUGAAAGGCUGAGACAUCCUUGAGGUUAUACAGAGAACUCAAGUGGCAUAAGGUCCAUCUAGAAGGUAAAGACGAGAACCAUUUCUACUUGAUGGACACCCGCUUGCCGAGAAACGCUUUUGCUCCGCUCGGCUGAUUCCAUUGGAGUGCCCUGCCUUGGGCUGGGAAUGGCUGGCCCCUUGCCCUCUCGAGAAGCCUGUGCCAGAACCCGAGUCAUCUCCUUUGGGACGUCUGAGUGGUUUCCCAACUUUUUCUGUAGCAGCUGAAUUCUCCUUACGAUAAUAAAAGAGUUAGAAGGACUGGUCAGUAUAGGUGGGUAGAAGCCAUGUUGGCACUUAGACCUGACUUCAUCUCCCACCCCCAGCACCAGCUCCAGUCCUGUGGUUCCCAGCUCACACCAUAGAACAUUCUGGUCUGGCCAGGUAAUAGGCAUUUGGAUGACUAGGAGUCUGAAAUGUUCCCCCUUAACACCCUUCCCUAAGCCUCCCUGUAACCUCCCCCUCGGUCCCCCCGCUACUGCUCUCUGACUACUACCAAGAAGAUUGGAAACCUCUCGGUGACAACCUGAAAGAUCCUGGAUCACCUUAUCUCUUCUCUGAUCCAGGAGGAAUCAAAGAAGACUCCAACGGGAACUUACUUCUUCCGCCAGUUCCCCGUCCCCACCCCCCCC